UGCCCGCCCAUCAGUCUGAACUAAAAUCCACAUAUGUUUCUACCUAGGAAUGGAUUACCUUGGUUGUAUUUGACAAGACCCUUCUUGAAUGUUUUAUCCUCAUUGCAAGUUAACUUCUAACUUGUUUUGGCCUUUUAAUGUCUGUGCUUUGAUUGUCAAUGGGUCCUAUGUGGUCGUAAUGCGUUUGUAGCUUACACUAUUAUACAGUUUAUAUUUAAAUUCUCAGAUUCUUAUUAUUUUAAAAGUGGGAAUUUAUACUUGUGUUUGAAUUAUGAUUUUUGUGAGUUGUAGUAGGUAAGUUAUUUUAAAUAUACUGUGUUGACUUCGAUAAUUAGUAGUUAUCUAUUCCUCACAACAGUUUCAGUGUUCCUGAUAUUUUUCAAAAUAAUAAUAGUUUUUGUAUAUUAUUGAUCAUGAUAUGCUUAAGUUAGAAGCGUGUUUCCAACAUUUCAUAUUUGAAGAUUGUUUAUUGGAAAUGUUUAAUAUUUAGUCAUUCAAUGUUUACAUAAAAGUCUUGCUUUUAGUUGUUCUAAAUAGCGUUACUGCUAACCAAACAGAUACUUUGAAACAAAACCUGGAAAAAGAUAGGGUAACAAUAAUAACUUUGAAUGUACUUGACAAUAGCUGUAUUUAUUUUGAUGGUGCAGUCAACCUUAUCUAAAAUGUAAACUGUCCUAGCUCGCCAUGCUGGACUUUUAAUCCGUUUUAAAGUCUUAAAUUCUGUCUGGAAAAUCUACUAUUUAAAACAAAAUAAUUCUUCAAACAAAAUCAACCUAAUUAGAUUUGCUCAUAAAAAGCUAUAUAUAAAGAAAACAGUAGUAUACAUCAAUUGAGAGAUUAAAAUCAGGAUUACAAACUACAAACUAUUUAUACCCGUCAGUGGCAUACGAGUUAUAUUUGUUUUCUAGGUUCGUGAGAUCAUUUUUUUGUGUUUGAUUUGGCCUAAGUAUUCAUCUACGAUUUAAUACUUCUAUCACUUGGUGUUCGAAUAAGGCUCAAUACGAGGGAAAGAUUUAAAAAAAAUUAAAAAAAAAAAAAAAAACAAAACAAGACGACAACAGUUACAGAUGUUCAAGAGACAAGUUCAUGUUACAAUAUAAAAACUGAGGGAACUAAAAAAGGAGCGAGCAAUUUGCAUCAAAAGAUAGAACAAACUAUUAACAUAGUAUAGAAGCUUUUUAUCAUUUUAUCAUUUCAAAAGUAUGGCAAUGAAACGGAUAGAAAAACAUUUGGAUGACGUCCUUCGACUACUGUGUGACAAUAAAACUGGGAGCAAAUCCGUUGGGAUGACAGCUGUUUUCACUUUAUGACAAUGAAGCUAGGGGUAAAAUCAUGAGAUGAUUUCGUAUCCGAGUUCAUGUGAUGUUACUUAGCUGAUUAUUCGUGUUGAUGUCGGAAGAACACAAGUAGUUAUUGUCAAUAUGUAUGGACCAUAAAUCUCAUAACUUUGAAUUUUUAUAUUUCUAGUUGAGAAUAAAAUUCUCAAAAUGUUUGCCACUGAACACUUUCUUCCAGCUUUUUUUUCAAAUCGAUCCAAAUUUUCCUUUUUUCUUAUUUCCUAUAUCGAACAGCAGUUCUAUGAACAUGUUAUAGAAACAAAACUAAACCUCUUUAACAAAUCGAUUUUUUCAUAUUGCAGUAAACGGCUAGCAUGAUCUACUAGGAUGUCAAAUUAAACAGUUUAUCCAGCUUCAUAAAGCAUAGAAGAAACGAG
rnacentral:lncRNA from 1 species